UUGAUUGAAACCAAAAAGAGGUAUGUCACUGUUAAUGACAAAAUUGAACUUUAAAUUCCUUUCAAG
rnacentral:tRNA from 1 species